rnacentral:rRNA from 1 species
AUUGAACGCUAGCGGGAUGCUUUACACAUGCACGUCGAACGAGUGGCGGACGGGUGAGUAAUAUAUCGGAAAGUGCCCAGUCGCGGGGGAUAACUACUCGCAACAGUAGCUAAUACCGCAUACUAUUGGAGAGGCCCAUAUCGGAUUGGCUAGUUGGUGGGGUAAAGGCUCACCAAGGCAACGAUCCGUAGCUGGUUUGAGAGGACGAACAGACACACUGGGACUGAGACACGGCCCAGACUCCUACGGGAGGCAGCAGUGGGGAAUGUUGGACAAUGGGGGAAACCCUGAGCCACCCAUCCCGCGUGUAUGAGAAGGCCUUCGGGUUGUAAAGUACUUUUGGCAGAGAAGCGGUAUCUGCAGAAUAAGCACCGGCUAACUACGUGCCAGCAGCCGCGGUAAUUC